GUGAGGAAUCUUCCACAAUGGGCGAAAGCCUGAUGGAGCAACGCCGCGUGAAGGAUGAAGGUCUUCGGAUUGUAAACUUCUUUUAUGCGUGAAGAAUAUGACGGUAACUCAUGAAUAAGCACCGGCUAACUACGUGCCAGCAGCCGCGGUCAUACGUAGGGUGCAAGCAUUAUCCGGAGUGACUGGGCGUAAAGAGUUGCGUAGGCGGUUAUGUAAGCGAAUAGUGAAACCUGGUGGCUCAACCACACAGACUAUUAUUCGAACUGCAUAACUCGAGAAUGGUAGAGGUAACUGGAAUUUCUUGUGUAGGAGUGAAAUCCGUAGAUAUAAGAAGGAACACCAAUGGCGUAGGCAGGUUACUGGGCCAUUUCUGACGCUAAGGCACGAAAGCGUGGGGAGCGAACCGGAUUAGAUACCCUGGUAGUCC
rnacentral:rRNA from 1 species